rnacentral:rRNA from 1 species
CAGCCGCCACGGUAAUACGUAGGGUGCAAGCGUUAAUCGGAAUUACUGGGCGUAAAGCGUGCGCAGGCGGCUAUGCAAGACAGAUGUGAAAUCCCCGGGCUCAACCUGGGAACUGCAUUUGUGACUGUAUAGCUAGAGUACGGUAGAGGGGGAUGGAAUUCCGCGUGUAGCAGUGAAAUGCGUAGAUAUGCGGAGGAACACCGAUGGCGAAGGCAAUCCCCUGGACCUGUACUGACGCUCAUGCACGAAAGCGUGGGGAGCAAACAGGAUUAGAUACCCGUGUAGUCCCUGUCUCUUAUAC